rnacentral:rRNA from 1 species
AUGGCGUCGCCGCCGCUGCCCGGCUCUUCCUCCUUCUACUCAAGCGAGGACGAACCCGCCUUCUUCCCGAACCCUUGGUUCGAAUGGGAGGGAGCCGGCCGCCGCGUCUCUCCCUACCACCCGCCGCCGCCGCAAACCCUAGCCCAUGGCGUCGCGGCCGCCUCCCUCCUGACCCCUGGCGCGUCACCCACCUCGCCUCCACCCAUCGCGUCGCCGCCGCCUCCUCCUGAGCCCGCGCCUGGCUUUGCCUUCUGCCCGACCGACAGCGAGCUCGUCUCCUUCUACCUCCGCCCAAGAAUCUCCGGCCAGCCCCUGCCAGACGCCACCAGCCAGUUCUUCCACGAGGCAGACGUAUACGCCACAGAUCCGGCCUCCCUCGUCUCCGGCCGCCUGCCAGGCCCGGCGAGGGCUCAAGGCGAGAGCAAGAACUGGUACUUCUUCAGCCUCGUGAAGCCCAAGAGCGCCCAGAAUAGCCGCAAGUCUCGGAUCGUCGGAGGAGGCAAGGGCACAUGGAAACAAGAGCGAGGGAAUGACGUCGUCGACGGUGAGGGCCACGCCGUCGGCCGCUUCGAGAAGUUCACCUACACACCCAAUCCCAAGGAAGACAAGAAGCCGCCGGAGUGGCUCAUGAUGGAAUUCAGCGUCGGCCAAGAAGACGGCGGCCAGCCGGGGCCGGUUCUUUGCCUCUGCAAGAUCUACCAGAGCCCGCGGUUCCUCAAGUCCGCCUCCAAGAACUCGGCGUCCGCGCGCAAGAGGAAGACGCCUGACGACGGCCCUCGGCUUUCUCCGCCAUCUCUGCACGCGUCUGCGCCCAAGAAGAGCAAGGCCCCCAUGGACGAAUCACCCGCAGCCAGGCGGCAGCUCCUGUUUCCGUCGUUGCCCCCUCCAUCAAAUCUGCCGUCGCCCGUCCUGUUUGCCUCGCCCCCUCCUUCCGCACCAAAUCCCGUGGUGGAACUGGAAGACGACUUCUUGGCGAAUAUUCUUGCGGACCCAGAGAUGAACUGGUCCUGGGAAGAGCUAUCUGCGCCCUUGCCCUGCUCAAUGACGGCAGUGGCACCGGCCCUGCUGGGAUCCUGCCAUGGAAGUCAGUGCGCCUAA